rnacentral:rRNA from 1 species
UACGUAGGGUGCGAGCGUUGUCCGGAAUUAUUGGGCGUAAAGAGUUCGUAGGCGGUUUGUCGCGUCGGCCGUGAAAACUUGGGGCUUAACCCCAAGCCUGCGGUCGAUACGGGCAGACUUGAGUUCGGCAGGGGAGACUGGAAUUCCUGGUGUAGCGGUGAAAUGCGCAGAUAUCAGGAGGAACACCGGUGGCGAAGGCGGGUCUCUGGGCCGAUACUGACGCUGAGGAGCGAAAGCGUGGGGAGCGAACAGG